UUUAUUUCAUGUUGCUGCAGUCUUCAGCGCCGGUUCAGAAUAAUCCUGGGAGUAACUGGACGUGAUGAAUGUUUCCUACCAGGAGGCUAAACGAGAUUCUUAAACCAUCAGUGACAAUAAUAUCCAGCUGAGGGAAACCGGAUCCAAUCCGUGUGAAGGUUUUCAGAAACAUCGGCGCUGCUAAACGGAUUCUGAGUGAGAAAUGUGAGGAAACCCAAAGCAAGUCGUCUCCACUAGGAAUAAAAACAACAAACCGCUGCAGAAGCUGCAGGUUCAGGAUGUGGUUCAUCUCUGUUAACAGAGAAAAGAUCAAUCUGCUUGAUUAGAGCUUUAUUUCCUCCCCAGUGGCUCCAGCUGAGCAGGAAACAGAAAGAUGUUUCAGUUGUGUGUGGUUUCCAGCUGUGGCUUCUGGCUGCCCUGACGGCCACUGGAGGCCUCUGCAGAGCUGAAGGAUUUACUGCUGAUGAGGAAACUCAGACAUUUCAGGAUGAAGGUGUGUUUGUUUCGCUGUUAUUCGGCGCUGGAGCAGCUGAGCAGGCGAAAAGCAGCUUCAGUUCCUGCAGUCAAAGCGCCACUGAGGGCGUCUGAUCGAGACACUCACCAUUGAUCUGGAUGGAUUUUACUGUCAUGUGGUUUGUGUUAACUCUGCGGUUACAUCCACUGGCUCAGUGGAGAUGCUGCGACCUGAUAGAGCAGCGAUACGAGGCUGAAGAUCUGGAAACACAAAGCUGAUGAUGUGAUGAAGAUUUCUCUCAAAGCAGCUCCUUCUGCAGGUGGAAGCCGUUUUUUGAUUUUCACAAAUGAAUCAAAAGGUUUUUCAAAUCAAAACCAUGUCAGGGAAUCUGUAAUGUCUAAAUGGUAAUUCAGUUCAGAUUUGAUCAUUCUAUAGACUUUAGUUCUAUGGCUUCUCCAAACCCUGAUUCCAUUGUUAAAAAUGAAGAGUUUUAACAGAGAAAAUAAUGGAGAUUCAUUUUUCUAAAUCAUAUUCUCACAAGGUUAUUCAAUCGCUAAUAAAUGCCACCAAUUGCAAAACAAAUAUCUAGGCAGCAAACUAAAUAUUUAAAAUAUUUUAUUUUUUUUUACAGCCUCACUUUCUGUCAGGUAUUACUUUAGCAGUAAACAUCUACAUGUUCCUUGUAUAUUUAAUGCCUCACACAGGAAGCUCAUUUGUAACUCACCACCUCCUGUCUCCAUUUUAAUGUUUAAAUAAUUC